AGUCGAACGAUGAAGCUUUUAGCUUGCUAGAAGUGGAUUAGUGGCGCACGGGUGAGUAAGGUAUAGUUAAUCUGCCCUACACAAGAGGACAACAGUUGGAAACGACUGCUAAUACUCUAUACUCCUGCUUAACACAAGUUGAGUAGGGAAAGUUUUUCGGUGUAGGAUGAGACUAUAUAGUAUCAGCUAGUUGGUAAGGUAAUGGCUUACCAAGGCUAUGACGCUUAACUGGUCUGAGAGGAUGAUCAGUCACACUGGAACUGAGACACGGUCCAGACUCCUACGGGAGGCAGCAGUAGGGAAUAUUGCGCAAUGGGGGAAACCCUGACGCAGCAACGCCGCGUGGAGGAUGACACUUUUCGGAGCGUAAACUCCUUUUCUUAGGGAAGAAUUCUGACGGUACCUAAGGAAUAAGCACCGGCUAACUCCGUGCCAGCAGCCGCGGUAAUACGGAGGGUGCAAGCGUUACUCGGAAUCACUGGGCGUAAAGGGCGCGUAGGCGGAUUAUCAAGUCUCUUGUGAAAUCUAAUGGCUUAACCAUUAAACUGCUUGGGAAACUGAUAGUCUAGAGUGAGGGAGAGGCAGAUGGAAUUGGUGGUGUAGGGGUAAAAUCCGUAGAUAUCACCAAGAAUACCCAUUGCGAAGGCGAUCUGCUGGAACUCAACUGACGCUAAGGCGCGAAAGCGUGGGGAGCAAACAGGAUUAGAUACCCUGGUAGUCCACGCCCUAAACGAUGUACACUAGUUGUUGGGGUGCUAGUCAUCUCAGUAAUGCAGCUAACGCAUUAAGUGUACCGCCUGGGGAGUACGGUCGCAAGAUUAAAACUCAAAGGAAUAGACGGGGACCCGCACAAGCGGUGGAGCAUGUGGUUUAAUUCGAAGAUACGCGAAGAACCUUACCUGGGCUUGAUAUCCUAAGAACCUUUUAGAGAUAAGAGGGUGCUAGCUUGCUAGAACUUAGAGACAGGUGCUGCACGGCUGUCGUCAGCUCGUGUCGUGAGAUGUUGGGUUAAGUCCCGCAACGAGCGCAACCCACGUAUUUAGUUGCUAACGGUUCGGCCGAGCACUCUAAAUAGACUGCCUUCGUAAGGAGGAGGAAGGUGUGGACGACGUCAAGUCAUCAUGGCCCUUAUGCCCAGGGCGACACACGUGCUACAAUGGCAUAUACAAUGAGACGCAAUACCGCGAGGUGGAGCAAAUCUAUAAAAUAUGUCCCAGUUCGGAUUGUUCUCUGCAACUCGAGAGCAUGAAGCCGGAAUCGCUAGUAAUCGUAGAUCAGCCAUGCUACGGUGAAUACGUUCCCGGGUCUUGUACUCACCGCCCGUCACACCAUGGGAGUUGAUUUCACUCGAAUACGCGGAAUACUAAACUA
rnacentral:rRNA from 1 species